AUAACCAGAUGAUGUUUAGUUCGUUUACUACGACCUAAAUCAGUAUCUGAAGCUGGAAAUAGAGGUGGGACAAAGGGAUACAACUCAGAAGAAGGUACAGGUGAAGCAGUACUUGUGGGGGAACUCCCCCUGUUAAAGAAUCAGGACUCGGAUAGUCCCAGUCCCACUGAUUAGUAGAGAUCAAAAGUGAAGGCGAAGAU
rnacentral:lncRNA from 1 species